rnacentral:snoRNA from 1 species
GAGCCGUGAUGAUCAUUUGUGUGUGAUCUGUGAAAGGGUGGGUCCUUCACAACCGUCCGAUUAUCAGACGAAUUCUACACAUCUGAGCUC